GCCGCAUUGGCGUAGUGGUAUGCGCGCCCCACUUGUAGAAAAGCUCCAGCUUUCGGCGAUGGGGAGGUCACUCGUUCGACCCGGGUAUGUGGCA